AAGCGACUAAAGCGUACACGGUGGAUGCCACGGCGGUCAGAAGGCGAUGAAGGGCGUGCUAAUCUGCGAUAGCGCCGGUAAGGUGAUAUGAACCGUUAUAACCGGCGAUACCCGAAUGGGAAACAGUGUGACUGCGAUACUUGCGUUAACUGAAUCCAUAGGUUAAUGAGGCGAACCGGGAACCGAAACGUCUAAUUACCCCGAGGAAAAGAAAUCAGCAGAUUCCCCAGUAGCGGCGGCGGCGGGGAGGAGCCCAGGCCUGAAUCAGCAUGUGUGUUAGUGGAAAGCGUCUGGAAGCGCGCGAUACAGGGUAGCCCCGUACACAAAAGCGCAUGUGCUGUGGCUCGAUGAAGGGCGGGACACGUGGUAUCCUGUGGGACCAUCCUCCCAGGGCUAAAUACUCCUGACUUGACCGAUGGUGAACCGAGUACCGUGAGGGAAGGCGAAAAGAACCCCGGCGAGGGAGUGAAAAAGAACCUGAAACCGUGUAAUACGUACAGCAGUGGGCACAGGUUUACCGUGACUGCGUACCUUGUAUAAUGGGUCAGCGACUUAUAUUCUGUAGCAAGGUUAACCGUAUAGGGAGCCGGAGGGAAAACCGAGUCUUAAUUGGGCGUUGUUGCAGGGUAUAGACCGAAACCCGGCGAUUCAGCCAUGCCGGGCAGGUUGAAGGUUGGGUAACACCAACUGGAGGACCGAACCGACUAAUGUUGAAAAAAUUAGCGGAUGACCUGUGGCUGGGGCAGAAAGGCCAAUCAAACCGGAGAUAGCUGGUUCUCCCCGAAAGCUAUUUAGGUAGCGCCUCGUGAAUUCAUCUCCGGCACUGUUUCGCUAGCCAUCCCGGCUACCAACCCGAUGCAAACCGCGAAUACCGAGAAUGUUAUCACGGAGACACACGGCGGGUGCCAACGUCCGUCGUGAAGAGGAAACAACCCAGACCGCCAGCUAAGGUCCCAAAGUCAUGGUUAAGCGGGAAACGAUGCGGGAAGGCCCAGGCCAGCCGUGAUGUUGGCUUGUAGCAGCCAACAUCAUUUAAAGAAAGCGUAAUAGCUCACUGGUCGAGUCGGCCUGCGCGGAAGAUGUAACGGGCUAAACCAUGCAACCGAAGCUGCGGCAGCGACACUGUAAAGCGUUGGGUAGGGGAGCGUUCCGUGCUUCCGUGAAGGUGUGUCGAGGGCAUGCUGGAGGUAUCAGAAGUGCGAAUGCUGACAUAAGUAACGAUAAAGCGGGUGAAAAGCCCGCUCGCCGGAAGACCAAGGGUUCACAGUCCAACGUUAAUCGGGCAGGUGAGUCGACCUCAAGGCGAGGCCGAAAGGCGUCGAUGGGAACGGCUAAUAUUCCCCGUAAAUUUGGUGUUACCGCGAAGGGGACGGAGAAGGGGCUAUGCUGGCCGGGCGACGGUUGUCCCGGUUUAAGCGUAGGUGUGUUCCGUAAAUCCGGUUCACUUAACACUGAGGCGUGAUGACGAGGCACUACGGUGUUGAAGCAACAAAUGCCCUGCUUCCGUGAAAGCCCUUCUAAGCAUCAGGUGCGUAACAUCAAAUCGUACCCCAAACCGACACAGGUGGUCAGGUAGAGAAUACCAAGGCGCGCUUGAGAGAACUCGGGUGAAGGAAUCCAGCGUGGUGCCGUAAUCCGGGAGAAGGCAUCGCUGACACGUAGGUGAAGUGAUUUACUCACGGAGCUGAAGUCAGUCGAAGAUACCAGCUGGCCGCGUAACCGUUUAUUAAAACACAGCACUGUGCAAACACGAAAGUGGACGUAUACGGUGUGACGCCUUCGCCCGUGCCGGAAGGUUAAUUUGAUGGGGUCAGCGCAAGCGAAGCUCCUGAUCGAAGCCCCGGUAAACGGCGGCCGUAACUAUAACGGUCCUGGCAGGUAGCGAAAUUCCUUUGCCGGGUGUUCCGACCCGCACGAAUGGCGCGUAAUGAUGGCCGCCGUUCCACCCGAGACUCAGUGAAAUUGAACUCGCUGUGAAGAUGCAGUGUACCCGCGGCAAAGACGGAAAGACCCCGUGAACCUUACUAUAGCUUGACACUGAACAUUGAGCCUUGAUGUGUAGGGAUAGGUGGGAGGCUCGAAGCGUGGACGCCAGUCUGCAUGGAGCCACCCGGAAAUACCACCCUUAAUGUUUGAUGUUCAACGUGGACCCGUUACCCGGGUUGCGGGACAGUGUCUGGUGGUAUGGACUGGGGCGGUCUCCUCCUAAAGAGUAACGGAGCACGAAGGUUGGCUAAUCCUCGGUCGGACAUCAGAGUGUUGGGGUGCAAUGGCAUAAGCCGCGCUUUCUGACUGCGAGCGUGACGGCGCGAGCAGGUGCGAAAGUUAUGGGUCAUAGUGAUCCGGUGGUUCUGAAUGGAAGGGCCACGCUCAACGGAUAAAAGGUACCCGGGGAUACGAGCCGAUACCGCCCAAGAGUUCAUAUCGACGGCGGUGUUUUGGCAACCCGAUGUCGGCUCAUCACAUCCGCCGAAGUAGGUCCUGGGCGGGUAUGGCUGCUCGCCAUUUAAAGUGGGUACGCGAGCUGGGCUUCUAGAACGUCGUGAGACAGUUCGGUCCUCAUUCGCCGUGUGGGGCGCUGGAGAGAACUGAGGUGGGGGCUGCCCUAGUACGAGAGGACCGGAGGACGCAUCACUGGUGUCGGGUUGUCAUGCCAAUGGCACCGCCCGGUAGCUAAAUGAAGAGAUAAGUGCUGAAAGCAUCGCUAACGAAACUUGCCCCGAGAUAUUUAUUCUCCUGAGACCAGAGUCUCCUGAAGGGAACGUUGAAGACGACGACGUUGAUAGUCGGGUGUAAGCGCAGCGAUGCGUUGAGCUAACCUGGUACUAAUGAACCGUGAGUAAGCUUAA
rnacentral:rRNA from 1 species